GCUGUCCUGGAUCUGCCAGCACCACAGGCACAGCUGCUCGGCUGUGCCUGUGACAUCGGGGCACAGAGAAAGUGGCUAUUUCUACGCUCAGUGUUCAGAAACCCAUGAACACUAAGAAUGGUUUGUAGCCUGACAUUU
ensembl:snoRNA